CCUUAUGAGAUGCUAGUUGAUCACUGUAAAUCUUUUAGCACUCACCUAUCAUUUAAUAUUUGUGCGUUUUUAGUUAUUAAAUACACGGUUACAAUCUUGUUAUCAGUAAUUAAUAGUUUCAAUAGAUGCAUUAUUUGGUAUCUAGAUAAAGGUUUAUCAUUCAAAAUUUAUGUUUGUAAUACAUGUGAAUGCAUUGAUUUUAGAUACGAGUGUCUGGUAUCCAUAUUGAGAGGCCUUGAGAACAGCCCACCUGGUGAAGUUCGAGUGCAAAACCCGGUCUUGGAAGAGGGGCAAACCGUGACCUAGACCACUAGACCAGUUUAAUCCCCAAAGUGAACUUUGUAUACGUCAGUGUACUUGACUCAAAUACCAUCUGAGGUCCAGGGUAUAGGUGGUCAGAGUUGGUAACAAAAUGUGUUUACAAUAGGGAUGCAAACGAAUAUUCGAAUAUUCGAUCAAACGUUUGCUAUUCGAAUGUCAAAACCGGUAUUAGAAUAUUCGAAGAAAUAUGUUGAAUGAAUAGCUAUUGCCUUGAACUCUGUUCUUGUGUAUAAGAGUGUAGUCUUGUUUUAAAAACGAUCGGCCCCAAAUGACAGAGGUGUAACUUUACAUCUAUUUACGACUAUUAUGAAUUGUGAAAAUGUCAGAUGAUCUAUACCAUCAUUUCCACCAAUGAUACUGAAGGAUACCUUUGGAUAAAAGUUUAGAAAACGAAUAGGAUAUUUUUAUCGAGAUUCAUGGAUCCAUAUAUUUUCGGAAGAAUGGAUGACAUUCAUAGUAUGUAUACCCGCUGCAGUAAACUAGCAAUUCUAGUGUGUUUUUUAAGUAUUUGAUUUCAAACCUCGUAAUAGCGAACUAUCAGCUUGAUGUAAAAAGAACUUUUGUGACGAAAUAAAUGAAAAUCAACUAA